GAGUCCUUAGUGGGGUUUUAAGCAUAAUAAGACAUUUAAUUAAAUCAAAACAAAAAGAAAAUUAGAUAAUCGAUCCUUAAUAGAGAGUUUUGGCAACCGAUCGUAGAGGAAGUUUUUAAUACACGUGUCAAGCAAACUGUGAAUUAUGAAUCCUUUUUUCCUUUUUUAUUUUCUUUCUCUCCUCUUCUCUCGCGUUCUCCGUCUGUCGUCCCGUCUGUAGAUUCAACGGUGAAGUUCAGUUCCUCGUGACGAACAAGAAUCAACCGUGGCUAAACAAAUUUAAGGAGAUACUGAAGAAUCUCUCGAACUACGAGCUCAUUUAAAUCGAUGAAGAAGUUGAAACGCACUGUUUCAGCAGCGUCACCGUCGGUCUCACUCGCCACCAAAAUUCCUUAGAGAAAACGUCGCCGUGAGGCCCGUGACUAUGAGGAGUAAUCAGCGGCGGAGGCCACGGAUGCUGAUUUUGGCGAGGGGGAGAUCGCGGGUGUUCACGAACGCCGGCGCGAUCGCCAGAGCGGCGAAGUAAUUCGGAUUCAAAGUCGUGGUGGCGGAAGCAAAUUCAGACGUAGCAGUUUCGCGCGAACGGUUAAUUUGUGCGAUGUCAUGCUUGGCGUUCACGGCGCGGAGCUUACGAACAUGGUGUUCGCGACACAAUAGAUCAUAUGUUCACAAGAAGAGGAACAGAAGAAUGAGGGAGAAGCAAGAGUUAUUGCGUGGUGUGAAUGCUUUCGCAGCAAAUAUGUUUACGGUAUUAUCUCAUCUGUGUGUUCUGUUUUUUUUAUCUUGCCUCAUCUGUUGUUUGUUUCUGUUAUGCAUUUGUUGCCCCUCCUCUUUCAUUAUUUGUAGAAAAAUUGGUUUGCUUUACAGAUUGAGCUUCUUGAAAAAGGUACAUACAAAUUUAGUGUUUCUUGCUUUGCUUCUCCCAUAAGCUGAAACUAUGUCCUAUAGGCCACUGCUGGUUCUUCUUAUGCUCAUAGUAUUAGCUUCUUUAGUUAGUAGAAUGUUCUUUGUAAAUAAAUUAGAAGGUGAUAAUUGUUAGUUGUUCCUCUUUAUGAAUAAGAUUGCUAGAGGCCUUUGAAUCUCUGUUAAUGGAUUCCAUUAAAGCUGAGCAUGUUGUAACAUUGUUGUGUGUGUAUUUAGCUGAUGAUUGAGUGGAAACAUGAGCUUGAUGCUGUGGAGAACACUGAGAGGAGAAACUGCUAAAGAAAAGAAGAUUGUAGCCACUUUUAACCAGUGUGAUAGCUAGGUAUUUUACUCCUCUCUUCAACUUAUGCAGGAAGAAAACACAAUCCCUUUUCCUUUUAUUGCAAGUUCUUGGCUUUGCUUUCUGUUUGGGUGUGAAACAUAUUAGUAAUGAGAACGUUUGUGUACUUGUUGUUUGAAUUUAUAAAUAAGGUUGCAAAUUGUUAUGUA